rnacentral:tRNA from 1 species
CGGCCCGUAGCUCAGGUGGUAGAGCAUCCGUCUGAUAUGCGGGUGGUCGGAGGUUCGAGUCCUCCCGGGCCGA